rnacentral:misc_RNA from 1 species
UACGUAGGUGGCAAGCGUUGUCCGGAAUUGUUGGGCGUAAAGCGCGCGCAGGCGGUUUCUUAAGUCUGAUGUGAAAGCCCCCGGCUCAACCGGGGAGGGCCAUUGGAAACUGGGAGGCUUGAGUGCAGAAGAGGAGAGUGGAAUUCCAAGUGUAGCGGUGAAAUGCGUAGAGAUGUGGAGGAACACCAGUGGCGAAGGCGGCUCUUUGGUCUGUAACUGACGCUGAGGCGCGAAAGCGUGGGGAGCAAACAGG